AAACCAUUUUUGAAAAUCUAUUAUGCAUUUGUAGUUUUUGAAACAUAAACAUAGUCAUUACAAGUCGUUUAAAGAACUUUAAAAACCCUUGUAAAACCAUUUUUCAAAGUCAUUACAAGUCGUUUUAAGACUUUAAAAACCCUUGUAAAACACAGUCAUUACUCCAUAAUCCUUUUUAAAGACCGUUUUGAAACCAUUCCAAAAACAAAAUUUUAAUCCUUUUCAAAGAACAUAGCCGCUGAAAAUAGAAAAAAAAAAACCUUUUCCAAACCAACUCCAAUCAACUGGUAACCCAUAAAUUAAGUGAGGAUCUAUAAAUUAAAACACAAACCCAAACAUCAAUCUAUUUACUGUUGAAGUUUCCAAACGAAAAAACUUUGAAAUUGCUACAACAGAGAAGUUAAUCGGCAUUUGAAAUCUUCUUUGAAGGUUUUUGAAACCCAAACAUCAAACUUUAAAACAUAAAUCUAUCAA
rnacentral:sRNA from 1 species